AAGGAUAUUGUGCUAUGAUACACC
rnacentral:siRNA from 1 species